rnacentral:rRNA from 1 species
GACGAACGCUGGCGGCGUGCCUAAUACAUGCAAGUUGAGCGCUGAAGGUUGGUACUUGUACCAACUGGAUGAGCAGCGAACGGGUGAGUAACGCGUGGGGAAUCUGCCUUUGAGCGGGGGACAACAUUUGGAAACGAAUGCUAAUACCGCAUAAAAACUUUAAACACAAGUUUUAAGUUUGAAAGAUGCAAUUGCAUCACUCAAAGAUGAUCCCGCGUUGUAUUAGCUAGUUGGUGAGGUAAAGGCUCACCAAGGCGAUGAUACAUAGCCGACCUGAGAGGGUGAUCGGCCACAUUGGGACUGAGACACGGCCCAAACUCCUACGGGAGGCAGCAGUAGGGAAUCUUCGGCAAUGGACGAAAGUCUGACCGAGCAACGCUGCGUGAGUGAAGAAGGUUUUCGGAUCGUAAAACUCUGUUGGUAGAGAAGAACGUUGGUGAGAGUGGAAAGCUCAUCAAGUGACGGCAACUACCCAGAAAGGGACGGCUAACUACGUG